UGGGGAAUCUUGCACAAUGGGGGAAACCCUGAUGCAGCGACGCCGCGUGAACGAUGAAGCCCUUCGGGGUGUAAAGUUCUUUCGACAGGAACGAUAAUGACGGUACCUGGAGAAGAAGCUGCGGCUAACUACGUGCCAGCAGCCGCGGUAAUACGUAGGCAGCGAGCGUUGUUCGGAGUUACUGGGCGUAAAGAGUGCGUAGGCGGCGAGCCAAGUUUGGUGUGAAAUCUCCCGGCUUAACCGGGAGGGUGCGCCGAAAACUGGUUGGCUGGAGUAUGGGAGAGGAAAGCGGAAUUCCUGGUGUAGCGGUGAAAUGCGUAGAUAUCAGGAAGAACACCUGCGGUGUAGACAGCUUUCUGGACCAAAACUGACGCUGAGGCACGAAAGCGUGGGUAGCAAACA
rnacentral:rRNA from 1 species